ensembl:misc_RNA 7SK 7SK RNA
AAAGGUGAGGCCCCCCCCGCUUCCUUCCUCACGGCUCCACGUGCCUCACUCCCGAAGCUGUGAGCUCCGUGGAAGACAAAGACAGAGGAGGGCCUGUCUUCGGUCAAUGGUAUAUGAAUAGCUGUGUUCCCCUGCUAGAACGAACCACCAAGCAAGCUUUGACACUGCCUGCACCCCCUUGCCCACCCUUAUUCACAGCCACCAAUACAUCCUGUUCAUGCAAAAGAAAGUAAAACAAAAGACUUUUUUUCCUUU